AUUGAACGCUGGCGGAAUGCUUUACACAUGCAAGUCGAACGGUAGAGGGGGCAACCCCUCGAGAGUGGCGAACGGGUGAGUAAUAUAUCGGAACGUGCCCAGUAGUGGGGGAUAACGUAGCGAAAGUUACGCUAAUACCGCAUACGAUCUAAGGAUGAAAGCGGGGGAUCGCAAGACCUCGCGCGAUUGGAGCGGCCGAUAUCAGAUUAGGUCGUUGGUGGGGGAAAGGCUCACCAAGCCAACGAUCUGUAGCUGGUCUGAGAGGACGACCAGCCACACUGGAACUGAGACACGGUCCAGACGCCUACGGGAGGCAGCAGUGGGGAAUUUUGGACAAUGGACGCAAGUCUGAUCCAGCCAUUCCGCGUGCAGGAUGAAGGCCCUCGGGUUGUAAACUGCUUUUGUACGGAACGAAAAGGUCUCUCUUAAUACGGGGGGCUCAUGACGGUACCGUAAGAAUAAGCACCGGCUAACUACGUGCCAGCCGCCGCCGUAA
rnacentral:rRNA from 1 species